rfam:Echinostoma caproni strain Egypt genome assembly, scaffold: ECPE_scaffold0002726
GCACUGCUGACGAGUACCAAACAGGACGAAACAGCUGUCCAGUGC